UACGUAGGUGGCAAGCGUUGUCCGGAUUUACUGGGCGUAAAGAGCGCGCAGGCGGUCGUUCAAGUCGCGUGUGAAAGCCCCCGGCUCAACUGGGGAGGGUCACGCGAUACUGGUCGACUCGAAGGCAGGAGAGGGUAGUGGAAUUCCCGGUGUAGUGGUGAAAUGCGUAGAUAUCGGGAGGAACACCAGUGGCGAAGGCGACCACCUGGCCUGUUUCUUGACGCUGAGGCGCGAAAGCUAGGGGAGCAAACGGG
rnacentral:rRNA from 1 species